rnacentral:rRNA from 1 species
AUUGAACGCUGGCGGCAGGCCUAACACAUGCAAGUCGAACGAGUGGCGGACGGGUGAGUAAUGUCUGGGGACCUGCCUGAUGGAGGGGGAUAACUACUGGAAACGGUGGCUACUACCGCAUACCAUCGGAUGUGCCCAUAGGGGAUUAGCUAGUAGGUGGGGUAAAGGCUCACCGAGGCGACGAUCCCUAGCUGGUCUGAGAGGAGGAUCAGCCACACUGGGACUGAGACACGGCCCAGACUCCUACGGGAGGCAGCAGUGGGGAAUAUUGCACAAUGGGCGCAAGCCUGAUGCAGCCAUGCCGCGUGUAUGAAGAAGGCCUUCGGGUUGUAAAGUACUUUCAGCGGGGAGGCGUUACCCGCAGAAGAAGCACCGGCUAACUCCGUGCCAGCAGCCGCGGUAAUUC